AGGUCAUAUACCAGUUAAACUGCCCCAUUUUGCCUCUUAGUGUACAUUGUGAGCCCACUCAACCAGUUCCUGAGAUACUACUGGGAAGCUGCUGAUCACCAGUUUCAGGUUUUUUCCAUCUGUUGGGAAACUGCCUAUCCCUUGUGCUCGCUGCAACCAAUUAUUAUUUUAGGGAGACAGUUAACCGCCUGACCAUCACCCGAUGAUCGCCUGAUGUUCAUGCAUCCAUGACUACAUAAACUUUUUGGCCGUUUGACCAAAUGGGGACAUCUGGCAUACUGCUAUCAACCAAUAUAAAACUACUGGAGGGUGGUUCCAAGAUGGCCAAAUAGGAACAGCUCCAGUCUACAGCUCCCAGCAUGAGUGAUGCAGAAGACGAAUGAUUUCUGCAUUUCCAACUCAGUUCACAGAUCUUCAACUCCAGAGAACUGAGUUUAAGGAGCUGUACCUGGGAAAUUGUGCCUGAAGCUGUUCCUGAGGAAUCUGCACCUGGAUCUAAUGUACAUGCUGAGAUCCUGGAUUUGAGCUGAUGCCAUAGUGGGAUGAGACUUUGCCGUCUUGGGUGUGGGAUGAAUAUAUUUUGCACUGGGAAGGAUGUGAAGUAUUGUGGUUAAAAGGUGGACUGUAGUUCAUUGCAUUUUUCAACAAUGGCCACAACAGCAUCUCUUAUCCUAUGUGCUCUUCUUCCAAUGUGACUGUGUCCUCUCUCAUUAAGAUGCGGAGUCUAUUUCUCCACUCUCUCAAAUCUGGUGGACCCUGGGACUUCUACCAACAGAGUACAGUGGAAAUGAUGCUGGGCCACUUCCCGGUUUGGUCUUUAACUAGUCUGGCAGCUUCUCCUUUCUGCUUCUUGGAAGCCAGUAAGAAGUACAACUAUCCUGAGGCUUCUGCUGUGAGAAGCCCAAGCCAUGGGAGAGGCUCUGGAGAAUGAGACUUCACUGGGAGAGUGAAGAGAGGAGCGAAGAGAAAGAGAGAGGCACCAAGGAUCACUGAGUUGCCAGAACAUGAAUGCUAAGGCCAUAUUGGAAAUGGAUUCUCCUGCUUCAGCUGCCCCAGCUGAUGCCACCAGGAUCAGAGAUGAUCUGGCCAGCUGAGCCCUUCCUUAAUUCUAACCCAUAAAAUUGUGUGCGAAACAAAAUGGUUGUUUUCAACCACUAAGUUUUGGGGUAGGUUUUAUGCAGCAGCAGAUAAUGGAAAUACUGCUUGGUUUUGACUUUCAAAAAAAUCCAUUUGUUUUCAGGCUUGUCUGCACUCCUUCUUUAAGAGGUGCUAAGAGACUGGACUUAGUUCUUUGUCCAGAUAAAUGUGUUUUUCCCACUGCUAGCUUAGGUUUUAUUUUUUUCACGUCUGCUAAGUCAGUAGUCCAUUUGCUUUUCAGCUUCCAAAACUUAAUUAUUCUAAUUUUCCUUAUUGUUCUCUUCCUUGUGGAUUUAUGCAUUUUAUUUGCUCCUUUCUGUAAUUUUUGUGGUAUUUGGCAAACAGUGAAGGUAAAUAUACACAUUCAAUCUGCCACAUUUAACUGAAUGUCCCCUAUGCCUUUUAUUGACUGCUUAGAAUGGCAAUGGUAAUUUUGGCCUCUAGGCACAGAGAAAUAAGAGUUUUUUUGUGAGUCACAUUGGCCCAGAGCUCCUCCACUCCUCCACAAAAGGUGAGAACUUUGUAGGGCUGACUCAGAGAUCAAGGCUGAUUCUGAUUCUGGCUGGAACAUUCCUUGGGGGUGUGAUUACUAUGGGGACAUAGUAGGCGCUACAGCUGGCUCUGGGAAGUAGACUCUGGGUUGCCAAAAAUGGACAUACACACACACACUCUCUCUCUCUCUCUUCUUCUCUUUCUGUCCCUCUCCCUCUCUCCAUUAUAUGGUCACAUUUGGGUAAGUUAAUGAAGAUUCUUGAAGAAGAAAGCAGUAUGGUGAG
rnacentral:lncRNA from 1 species